UGCCCCAUGGCUGAGUUGGUCACAGCGUCCGACUGUUAUUUGUCAAUCGGAAGGUCGAGAGUUCGAGCCUCUCUGGGGCAG